GGGGAGAUACCAAAGUGGCCAACUGGGGCAGACUGUAAAUCUGCUGACUUAUGUCUUCGUAGGUUCGAAUCCUGCUCUCCCCACCA
rnacentral:tRNA from 1 species